rnacentral:rRNA from 1 species
GACGAACGCUGGCGGCGUGCCUAAUACAUGCAAGUCGAACGCUUCUUUCCUCCCGAGUGCUUGCACUCAAUUGGAAAGAGGAGUGGCGGACGGGUGAGUAACACGUGGGUAACCUACCCAUCAGAGGGGGAUAACACUUGGAAACAGGUGCUAAUACCGCAUAACAGUUUAUGCCGCAGGCCAUAGGAGUAAAGGGGGCUUUCGGUGGUCGCGGAGGGUUGGACCCGCGGUGCAUUAGCUAGUUGGUGAGGUAACGGCUCACCAAGGCCACGAUGCAUAGCCGACAUGAGAGGGUGAUCGGCCACACUGGGACUGAGACACGGCCCAGACUCCUACGGGAGGCAGCAGUAGGGAAUCUUCGGCAAUGGACGAAAGUCUGACCGAGCAACGCCGCGUGAGUGAAGAAGGUUUUCGGAUCGUAAAACUCUGUUGUUAGAGAAGAACAAGGACGUUAGUAACUGAACGUCCCCUGACGGUAUCUAACCAGAAAGCCACGGCUAACUACGUG